rnacentral:rRNA from 1 species
GACGGGGGAGGCAAGCGUUAUCCGGAAUUAUUGGGCGUCAAGCGUCCGCAGGUGGCGAGUCAAGUCUGCUGUCAAAGGUCGGGGCUUAACCCCGGGAAGGCAGUGGAAACUGAAUAGCUAGAGUGCGGUAGGGGCAGCGGGAAUUCCCGGUGUAGCGGUGAAAUGCGUAGAGAUCGGGAAGAACACCAGUGGCGAAAGCGCUCUGCUGGGCCUGCACUGACACUGAGGGACGAAAGCUAGGGGAGCGAAAGGG